GGCCAGCAGCCGCGGUAAUACGUAGGGGGCGAGCGUUGUCCGGAUUUAUUGGGCGUAAAGAGCGCGUAGGCGGCUGUCCAAGUCGUGCGUGAAAUACUCCGGCUCAACUGGAGUAGGUCGUGCGAUACUGGGUGGCUUGAGGUCGGUAGGGGGAAGUGGAAUUCCCGGUGUAGUGGUGGAAUGCGUAGAUAUCGGGAGGAACACCAGUGGCGAAGGCGGCUUCCUGGACCGAUCCUGACGCUGAGGCGCGAAAGCGUGGGGAGCGAACUGAAUUAGAUACUCAGGUAGUCCACGCUGUAAACAAUGGGUGCUAGGUGUCGGGGGUAUCGACCCCUCCGGUGCCGGAGCUAACGCAUUAAGCACCCCGCCUGGGGAGUACGGCCGCAAGGCUAAAACUCAAAGGAAUUGACGGGGGCCCGCACA
rnacentral:rRNA from 1 species